GGCGCAAUGGCGGAUACGCUGGAGUCCUCGCUGGAGGACCCACUGCGGAGCUUUGUGCGAGUUUUGGAGAAGCGGGAUGGUACAGUGCUACGACUACAGCAGUAUAGCUCCGGUGGCGUGGGUUGCGUUGUGUGGGACGCUGCCAUUGUCCUUUCUAAAUACCUGGAAACGCCCGAGUUUUCUGGCGACGGGGCCCACGCGCUGAGCCGGCGGUCGGUGCUGGAGCUGGGUUCGGGCACCGGGGCCGUGGGGCUCAUGGCUGCUACCCUCGGGUAAGAGCUGGCGGGCGGGCGGGAUGUGGGGGCGCCUUCUUGCUGGGGAAAUCCGGAUUACAGGCUUUCCCCCCUGUGCCUACACCUCAGUCGACGUUAUUUUAUAGGGCUGAUGUUGUAGUCACCGAUCUUGAGGAAUUGCAAGACUUGCUGAAGAUGAAUAUUAAUAUGAACAAGCAUCUUGUCACUGGUUCUGUUCAAGCCAAGGGGGGAAGAAAUAGAAGGCUUUCCUUCUCCACCCGACUACAUACUGAUGGCCGACUGCAUAUACUAUGAAGAGUCUUUGGAGCCAUUGCUGAAAACUCUAAAAGAUAUCAGUGGAUUUGAAACUUGUAUUAUAUGUUGUUAUGAACAACGAACAAUGGGGAAAAAUCCAGAAAUUGAGAAAAAAUAUUUUGAGCUCCUUCAGCUAGAUUUUGACUUUGAAAAAAUUCCUUUGGAAAAACAUGAUGAAGAGUAUCGAAGUGAAGAUAUUCAUAUUAUAUACAUCAGAAAGAAAAAAUCGAAAUUUCCAUCGUGAAGCCUUUAAUCAUCUUACCCAAGGCUCUAACAACCUGGGUAAACUAAAGAUGUGAAUAGAGCAUGUGAAUACAGCAUGGGAAGAUUGUGUUCACAGAUUUUUUUUCCGGCACGUCCUUAGAGAUCCGAUGUAUAGAUGAUGACCACCAGGGGCUGUCUGCAAUACGAAAAAUUCCUGCUUGCCUGCCUGCCUGCCAAUGGCCCUGAAUCCAGCUUAGGUUACUUAGUUCAGCAUCAAGUUCUUCUUAAAUGUUGGGAAUCAGUUAUUCAAAUAAAAAUUGGUAUUGAGGCGAGGCUGAAAUCUGCCAAAAACAGUGAGCCAACAUGAUUGACUGGACCUUUUACAGGAAGCUAGAGAUAAAUUUCUGAAGAGAACUAUCUGCUAUUAUAUAAUAAUGUUUUAAAUUCAAACUAGUAAAUUUUAGUUUGUCUUCAAAGUUUAAAAGGUUUUCAUUUUGUACAUAAUUAUACAAUAUUUAUCAUUUGUAUUUUCCACUUCAUUUCUUUUAAAAUAUCUUUAAUACUGAAAUGUUCUUUUAAUUUUAAAAAGAACUGAGAUAUUGUCUUGUAUACUUAUAUUGGCCAAAGUUUUCUUUUCCUCCACCAUACAUAUCUAUGUGAUUUAAUCAGUAAAUUGUACUGUAAUGAGUUGCUAAGAAGACAAAUCAGAAGAUUGGAGGAACAAAAGAUAUCUUUACAGAUUUUUCAUUUGAGCAUGGAGUGAGAAUAGAAAGACCAGUUUCAGGCUUAUGCACUUACAAUGUGGCUCAUGCACUUUAUGUAUAUGUUCCAGGAAAAUCUGGCUUAAAAAUACUGGUAUUGUUUACAUGAAGCAGUGAAAGGUUUUUGAAUAACUACAAAUGUAGUUCUAUAUGUAUAUACCAAAUGAAUUUUUGUUCUGUGUCUCUCUGUUUUAUGUUAUGAAGCCAUUCGCUCAUAUACAAUAAUCUGUCAAGGACUUUAAUCAUACUUGUUCCAAAGAGUAGUAACCGGAUGGAAUUCUGGUAUUUACAGGCAUUGGUGCUAGAUGGUACAUUUUAUGUGUUAAAAUAAACAUUGUUUU
rnacentral:sRNA from 1 species